GACGAACGCUGGCGGCGUGCUUAACACAUGCAAGUCGAACGGAAAGGCCCUGCUUUUGUGGGGUGCUCGAGUGGCGAACGGGUGAGUAACACGCGAGUAAACUGCCCUUGUCUUUGUGAUAACUUCAGGGAACUGGGGCUAAUACCGGAUAGGAGCUCCUGCUGCAUGGUGGGGGUUGGAAAGUUUCGGCGGUUGUGGAUGGUCUCGCGGCUUAUCAGCUUGUUGGUGGGGUAGUGGCUGACCAAGGCUUUGACGGAUAGCCGGCCUGAGAGGGGGACCGGCCACAUUGGGACUGAGAGACGGACCAGACGCCUACGGGAGGCAGCAGUGGGGAAUAUUGCACAAUGGGCGGAAGCCUGAGGCAGCGGCGCCGCGUGCGGGAUGACCGCCUUCGAGGUGUAAACCGCUUUCGCCUGAGACGAAGCGUGAGUGACGGUAAUGGGUAAGGAAGCACCGGCUAACUACGUG
rnacentral:rRNA from 1 species